GAUGAACGCUGGCGGCGUGCCUAAUACAUGCAAGUCGAGCGAACAGACGAGGAGCUUGCUCCUCUGACGUUAGCGGCGGACGGGUGAGUAACACGUGGAUAACCUACCUAUAAGACUGGGAUAACUUCGGGAAACCGGAGCUAAUACCGGAUAAUAUAUUGAACCGCAUGGUUCAAUAGUGCAAGACGGCUUUGCUGUCACUUUUAGAUGAAUCCGCGCCGCAUUAGCUAGUUGGUAAGGUAACGGCUUACCAAGGCAACGAUGCGUAGCCGACCUGAGAGGGUGAUCAGCCACACUGGAACUGAGACACGGUCCAGACUCCUACGGGAGGCAGCAGUAGGGAAUCUUCCGCAAUGGGCGAAAGCCUGACGGAGCAACGCCGCGUGAGUGAUGAAGGUCUUCGGAUCGUAAAACUCUGUUAUUAGGGAAGAACAAAUGUGUAAGUAACUAUGCACGUCUUGACGGUACCUAAUCAGAAAGCCACGGCUAACUACGUG
rnacentral:rRNA from 1 species